rnacentral:rRNA from 1 species
UGCAGUCGAGCGAAUGGAUUGAGAGCUUGCUCUCAAGAAGUUAGCGGCGGACGGGUGAGUAACACGUGGGUAACCUGCCCAUAAGACUGGGAUAACUCCGGGAAACCGGGGCUAAUACCGGAUAACAUUUUGAACUGCAUGGUUCGAAAUUGAAAGGCGGCUUCGGCUGUCACUUAUGGAUGGACCCGCGUCGCAUUAGCUAGUUGGUGAGGUAACGGCUCACCAAGGCAACGAUGCGUAGCCGACCUGAGAGGGUGAUCGGCCACACUGGGACUGAGACACGGCCCAGACUCCUACGGGAGGCAGCAGUAGGGAAUCUUCCGCAAUGGACGAAAGUCUGACGGAGCAACGCCGCGUGAGUGAUGAAGGCUUUCGGGUCGUAAAACUCUGUUGUUAGGGAAGAACAAGUGCUAGUUGAAUAAGCUGGCACCUUGACGGUACCUAACCAGAAAGCCACGGCUAACUACGUGCCAGCAGCCGCGGUAAUACGUAGGUGGCAAGCGUUAUCCGGAAUUAUUGGGCGUAAAGCGCGCGCAGGUGGUUUCUUAAGUCUGAUGUGAAAGCCCACGGCUCAACCGUGGAGGGUCAUUGGAAACUGGGAGACUUGAGUGCAGAAGAGGAAAGUGGAAUUCCAUGUGUAGCGGUGAAAUGCGUAGAGAUAUGGAGGAACACCAGUGGCGAAGGCGACUUUC